rnacentral:rRNA from 1 species
AGCAGCCGCGGUAAUUCCAGCUCCAAUAGCGUAUAUUAAAGUUGUUGCAGUUAAAAAGCUCGUAGUUGAAUUUCGGGAUCAAUAUGCUGGUCGUGCCAUUGGUACGUACUAGUAUUAAUUGGUUUCUCCCUUCUGAUGAAUCAUGAUGUCAUUAAUUUGAUGUCAUGUGGAAUCAGGACUGUUACUUUGAAAAAUUAGAGUGUUUAAAGCAGGCUCGCGCUUGAAUACAUUAGCAUGGAAUAAUGAAAUAGGACGUUUGAUUCUAUUUUGUUGGUUUCUAGGAUCGACGUAAUGAUUAAUAGGGAUAGUUGGGGGCAUUAGUAUUCAAUUGUCAGAGGUGAAAUUCUUGGAUUUAU